GUUUCUUGCUAGUGUUUUAGACCCUUUGAUCUGUCGCACCAGGCAGCCUUCUUCUGCCCUUCUAGACAGGGGAAGGCCAACUCUCCCCUGACCUAGUAUGGAUUCCCUCUCCAUCUACUAGGUUGAUUGGAUUGUAGAUAGGACUUCGUUGCAGCCGGAGGUGAUUUGUUAAUUUGUGGCUGCCUUUGUUGUCUUCUUUUUUCUUUUUCUUUUUUCUCCUCUCCAUCUCUUGUUGUUGUGGUUUUUACAUGUGCAUUGAGAGGCUCUCUAAGGAUGGUAUCCCGGGGACAAUCCGGCGACACUUUGAUGGUCUUCCAACCCCUAAAGGUGUAAAAGAGAUUGAGAAUGCCAAGAGCUAUGCAAUGCCUCCUCUACCCCUUCAACAGGUUCAUGGUUCUGGUCACUCAUCUUCCGUGUUUUGUUUCCCCCCUUCGGCCAUUUCUUGAUUUGGGAUUGUUGUCCUUUUUUUAGGAAAAACUCCGUAACCACUAAAACCUUUCAAAGCCAUGCAAGGUCUAAAAAAA
rnacentral:misc_RNA from 1 species